rnacentral:lncRNA from 1 species
CAAAACACCGUUACUCUCUAGAACCUCCUUCCCUCCAUGUAGAAAAUUUCCCAAUCUCUCUUUCAAUCCCUCAAAUGGGUGCCCUCAAAAACCAUCAAAACUCCACCUUUCUCUUCUUCCUCUCACUUCCAAUUCUCCUCCUCCUCCUUCAAAUUCCGACACAAAGCUCCUCUUCAGACACCACAACCUUAAUCUACAAAGGCUGCGCCGAUCAAAAGCUUCAAGACCCAUCCGGCG